rnacentral:rRNA from 1 species
UUGCACGCUGGCGGCAGGCCUCACACAUGCCAGUCGAGCGGAUGAAGGGAGCUUGCUCCUGGAUUCAGCGGCGGACGGGUGAGUAAUGCCUAGGAAUCUGCCUGGUAGUGGGGGAUAACGUCCGGAAACGGGCGCUAAUACCGCAUACGUCCUGAGGGAGAAAGUGGGGGAUCUUCGGACCUCACGCUAUCAGAUGAGCCUAGGUCGGAUUAGCUAGUUGGUGGGGUAAAGGCCUACCAAGGCGACGAUCCGUAACUGGUCUGAGAGGAUGAUCAGUCACACUGGAACUGAGACACGGUCCAGACUCCUACGGGAGGCAGCAGUGGGGAAUAAUGGACAAUGGGCGAAAGCCUGAUCCAGCCAUGCCGCGUGUGUGAAGAAGGUCUUCGGAUUGUAAAGCACUUUAAGUUGGGAGGAAGGGCAGUAAGUUAAUACCUUGCUGUUUUGACGUUACCAACAGAAUAAGCACCGGCUAACUUCGUG